AUGGAUACAAAAACAGAAAUGAGCCAUGAACUUGAUGCCAAGAACAUUGAUUCCAAUGCUGAGAUAGAAACUGGUAAGAGUUCUGACGACGAGAGGUUAACAAUGGAACAACAAGAGGCCAUUGUUGAAAGCUUUACUUCUGCUCGUCAAUCUGUCAAUUCCUCUGAAAUCGAUUCUCUUGCAGAACCAGAUGUCCUGACUCCUCCAAUAAGACCUACUUUGAGAUCGAUAAUUGUAAUGGGCUCAAACAGCCACCAACUUCACACUCCUGCUCCACAAUCGGUUAAAGAUAGCUCUGCUGUUGUAGAUACUGAUCCAGAAUCUGUU
rnacentral:lncRNA from 1 species